rnacentral:ncRNA from 1 species
CUACGGACUUAAAGAUAAAUUGAGCCUUGAGGCGAGAAAUCUCUCAAGUGUAAGCUGUCAAAUUCAGGGAAACCUAAAUCUGUAAACUCAGACAAGGCAAUCCUGAGCCAAGCCUAGGGUUAUUAGAAAUGAGGGAGUUUACCCAAUCUAAUAUAAGUCUUAGGAAGGUGCAGAGACUCGACGGGAGCUACCCUAACGUAAAGCCGAGGGUAAAGAGAGAGUCCAAUUCUCAACGCCAAUUGGUA